UAAUACGGAGGAUGCAAGCGUUAUCCGGAUUUAUUGGGUUUAAAGGGUGCGCAGGUUGUUUGAUAAGUCAGUGGUGAAAGUCUGUCGCUUAACGGUAGGAUUGCCAUUGAUACUGUUGGACUUGAAUAUGGAUGAGGUAGGCGGAAUGUGUAGUGUAGCGGUGAAAUGCAUAGAUAUUACACAGAACACCGAUUGCGAAGGCAGCUUACUAAUCCAUCAUUGACGCUGAGGCACGAAAGCGUGGGGAUCAAACAGG
rnacentral:rRNA from 1 species